rnacentral:misc_RNA from 1 species
UGACAAUGGUAACACCAAGGAUGAUUUGAGGCUUCCAACUGAUGAUAACCUGCUCACUCAGAUUAAGGAUGGAUUUGCUGAAGGAAAGGACCUUGUCGUGUCGGUGAUGUCUGCCAUGGGAGAGGAACAAAUUUGUGCCCUGAAGGAUAUCGGCCCAAAGAAUUAGGUCUCUGGCAUAAAGUUAAGUUGGGGUCGUCAACUGCUUUUAUCGCUGAAUUCCUCGAUUGAAUCGUUGAAUGAUGGUAUAAUUAAUUAGCAGAGACUUUGUAUCUGUUAACGCAUCACUCUUUUCUCCCCCCCUCCCUUCUCCCUCACCUUCUGGCCCAGGAUGUAUGGUUGGUUCCUGCAUCAUUACUGUGUUUUAUGUUGUGUUAUUUUAUGAUAUUGGGUGUAAUGUUAUUGGGUUUUUGGAUGCUUACUUUGAUAAUCGAAGUGAAUAAUUUUUGCGAAUGCAGUUGGUUCCUGCAUCAUUACUGUGUUUUAUGUUGUGUUAUUUUAUGAUAUUGGGUGUAAUGUUAUUGGGUUUUUGGAUGCUUACUUUGAUAAUCGAAGUGAAUAAUUUUUGCGAAUGCA